rnacentral:miRNA from 1 species
GGUGGGAGAAUUGCUUGAGGCUGGGAGUUCUAGGCUGCAGUGAGCUAUGACCCAGCCACUGCACUCCAGCCUGAGUGACAGAGCAAGAC